rnacentral:tRNA from 1 species
ACAUUGGUGGUUCAGUGGCAGAAUUCUCGCUUUCCAUGAGGGAGACCAGGGUUCAAUUCCUGGCCAAUGUG